UUGAACAGUAGAAAUAGCUGAUGUGUCUGCUGCUUGGUGCAUAAAACUACAGAAACAAUACAUGCUUCUGCAGAUUUGUGCAUUAAGCUGCAGAAACAGUUGCAAAUCUUACUGAUAAAUA
rnacentral:pre_miRNA from 1 species